GUGGGGAAUUUUGGACAAUGGGCGCAAGCCUGAUCCAGCAAUGCCGCGUGCAGGAAGAAGGCCUUCGGGUUGUAAACUGCUUUUGUACGGAACGAAACGGCUCUGGUUAAUACCCGGGGCUAAUGACGGUACCGUAAGAAUAAGCACCGGCUAACUACGUGCCAGCAGCCGCGGUAAUACGUAGGGUGCAAGCGUUAAUCGGAAUUACUGGGCGGAAAGCGUGCGCAGGCGGUUUUGUAAGACAGGCGUGAAAUCCCCGGGCUCAACCUGGGAAUGGCGCUUGGGACUGCAAAGCUGGAGUGCGGCAGAGGGGGAUGGAAUUCCGCGUGUAGCAGUGAAAUGCGUAGAUAUGCGGAGGAACACCGAUGGCGAAGGCAAUCCCCUGGGCCUGCACUGACGCUCAUGCACGAAAGCGUGGGGAGCAAACAGGAUUAGAAACCCUGGUAGUCC
rnacentral:rRNA from 1 species